rnacentral:tRNA from 1 species
UCCCUGAUAGCUCAGCUGGUAAAGAAUCUGCCUGCAAAGCAGGAGACCCUGAUUCGAUUUCUGGGUUGGGAA